UACGUAGGGUCCGAGCGUUGUCCGGAAUUACUGGGCGUAAAGAGCUCGUAGGUGGUUUGUCGCGUUGUUCGUGAAAACUCACAGCUUAACUGUGGGCGUGCGGGCGAUACGGGCAGACUGGAGUACUGCAGGGGAGACUGGAAUUCCUGGUGUAGCGGUGGAAUGCGCAGAUAUCAGGAGGAACACCGGUGGCGAAGGCGGGUCUCUGGUACGUGACUGACGCUGAGACGCGAAAGCGUGGGGAGCAAACAGG
rnacentral:rRNA from 1 species